rnacentral:pre_miRNA from 1 species
AGCCUUCUGCUGAGAUUUCAUCACAUACCAGACUACAAGAGCUGAUGAGACACCCAAGAUAAGUGAAGCA